UAUGUAUACAUAAAAAGCAAAAAUGAAAAUUUGGUAUCAAGAACAUGAAAUCCUUCCAAAUGACGGUAUCGAACUAGCCAAAAUGUGUUGGCCAAGAUAUCGAGCGGUUCCCAGAAUUCAUAAUUUAAACACAAAGUGAUGCAGCGAAAGAAGUUAUUUCCUAACAAGAAAGUAGUUUGGCUAUCAAUAACCUCCUGACAUUCGGAAACAAUUGCCAUGUAGGGCACUGGCCAUUCAUGACCACAAAAAGGCCAAACACACAUCCUCGGGUGGUCCGCAAAAAGUUCGCAUCGAGGUAAUUGGCAGGACAACCAGUGCCACUUUCCAAGCAGCAUCUCUAUCUCCCCUGCCCACCCAGAGCGCCCGGAGUGAGAAAUUGGAAUGUCUUUUGUGCCACUAAUAGAGAAAUAUACGGGCCAUAAUUUCGCAAUGCUACAAUA